GAGCGGAGCCUCGGCUGAGGGGACGGUGGGGGCGUUGGCGCCGGGGUGGCCGUGGUCCGCAGGAGAAUCGCCGUGGGGGCGGGGGAACUGGCCUGUGGGACUGAGGACGAGAGGGGCGGGGACGUGCUCAGGAGUGGAUCGCCUCAUCUGGGAAAGAGGCGGGGCUUGCGUGGCGGAGCUGACGCCUGAGAAAGAGAUGGGGUUUGUUGUGGAGAGGCGGAGGCAGGGCCUGAGAAGAAACGGCCCCGGGGGUGGGGCCAGGCCUGUGUGGUGCAACUGGAAACCUGGGAAGGAGGCGGUCUCUGCAACAGAGGCCGGGGGCGCCGCCCCUGAGAACGAGGCUUGGCGGUGACGUCAGGCGGAGAGCGGGCUCCGAGCCUUACGGCUGUGGGCGGGGACAGGGAGCUGGCCCCUGGGAACGAGGCUUGUGACGUGGGCCGAGGGGCGUGUCCUGGGGCCAAGGGAAGACUGCAGAGGGGAGGCGGCGCCUGUGAAGCAGAAAAUGGCGCCUGCGAAUGAGCAAAGUUUGUGACGCGGCGAGGUUUUUGCCUCUGGCCGAGGCCUUCUUCCCUGGACGGGAGAAAGUGCAGCUCUCCAGCAAGGAAAAGCCUCAGUCCAUCCUGAGAAUAAACAACAAUAACCAGAACGUUUUUAUAGCCGAUGUGGAGAUGUUCAGAAGGGCCUGGGAGCUUUGGUGCCUGCCCUGUCCUACCUUUACAGCCUUGUCAUAACAAUACCCUUGAAAAUUACACCACCCAUCCCAGGUUUCCUUUUGGGAUGUUGAAAAUGUUUUGGAACUAGAUAGAGAUUGUGGUUGCACAACGUUGUGAAUGUACUAAAUGCCACUGAAUUGUUCACUUUUAAAAUGGUUAAAUUUAUGUUAUGUCAAUGAAAAAAAUUAUGUUCUGUCAAUAAAAGAAAAUUACCCCAUCAGUGUUGGUUCAGUGUUGAAGCCAGUUUCUCUCUGCUAUUGUGGGUAAUAUCCUGAAGCAUUUUUGCUUCACUCCAUUUUUUUGAAUGCUUAUCUGUUUAAGUAAGAGCAAAGCAUCUCAAGAUUCUUUAAUUUGUUGUCCAUUUUGUAGGGGGUUUCCCGCAGUGGUCAGGAACUUUGUGUUUAGAAAGCAUUUCGAAGUCAUGGACAACCCUCAAAUCAUAUACCUAGUAUUAGGAUUUGCGCCUUCUAUCUUUUGUCAGUUGGCAGAUCUCAAUGAGGGUAAUUAAGUAACUUGGCCAUCUAAACUGAUUUAAAUUCUAGGAGAAGCUUAUAUUUUAAGAGUAAAUUCAAAUCUACGAUAGCAUAGCCUCCUUAGCAAAUUUUAGUUUUUCUUUUUGAGGAUGAACCAGCUACAGACAAUUAAAUAAGGCACAGCAGAGGGAGUUUCUAGAUGGUCUGUGCAGAGUGUGGAUAGUUCCCUAACAGAGGUAAGCAAGCAAGGGGUUCUUUGUUCAGGUAAAGGAAGGCAGGUGGCUGGGCUCCGUAUUCCAGCAAUGAGUAGUGAUGUGUGAAGGGAAAGCAACGUUUCCGUGAAGGUUAAGGGCUAGCCUAGAAGCGUUGAGGGUUUUCUGCCCAGGGAGAAAUCUGCAGCGUGGGAACCAUUACGUUUAGUGAAGACCCUAGAACUAAGUCAACUGAAAUUUUCACUUUUGUUUGGUGAUCGCUUGCUCUAGCUCUUACACCAGGUAGGUAUACCUUGGCUACUGGAUCUAAUGAAAGACUGAAAUGAACAGUAGGCCUUUGAUAAUUCCCAUGUAAUUGAGUCCAUACCCCUACUGCUUGUUCAGACUUUUCAUGAACCAGAAGGGAAAAAGGGUUUGUGAAUCUGGAAUCCUAGUGGGGAAUAUUCUGGAAGACAGUUGCUGUACCAGUUUUUGUUGCUUGAACAUGAGUAUGCUCUUUAGCUUGAAAAGUAGUCAGUUAUUGAAAAAUAUUUAUAUUAGCAUACCUAAUUAUAUAUAAUUCACUAUAAUUAACCUAGGAAGAUAAACUUUUUGAUUUGUCUUUUUUUAAAAAAUGGUAAGUUUGACAAAUGGAAGAGCUUUCAUAAAAAUUUUAAGUAAAUUAAAAUUUGGAGACUUUUAGAUAAACCUAAUUAUGCCUAUUGUCAUUCAUAGAGCAAAGGGACAAAUCUUGGUAUUAUUUCCCAGAGAUAGUUUUGGCAUAAAAGAACAUUUUAACAGUGUCAUUAUUCUGAAUCUGGGAAAAACAAAUCAAAAAUAGUUGUUAGAAGAGACGAGAUAAGAGUUGAAGUGAAGGCAAGAGAUAUUUAUAAUCAGCUUUGUAAAAACACGGUGAUAAACAGAUUAUUAGGAGCUUAACUUUUUUAAACAAGGAAUCUCUUAAAAAAUGAGUUAAGAUUUUUUUUUAAUGAAUUAAGAGGAUGUCAAAAGGCACCAAGAGUUAAUAAUUGGGUGAUCAAAAAGGAACUUCUAAUCUGGGCAUAAAUUAAUGUGGUCAUUUUACAGAAAAAGACCCAAAUUCUAAUUUUCCUCCUUUGGUACAUUAUUCAUGUGACAAUUUACAGUAAAGGAUUUAUAAAUAUGCUUUCGUAUGUAUGUAUUUAGGCUUAUACAGGUAUAUAAAUAAUAAAUUUAGUGGAACAGUGUUACUGUAUAUUACAUUUAACAUCUCAAUAAACUAACAACCUUUUAAUAAACAAGGAUAUCAUAUCUCUUAUAUCCAUAUUUCUAUUUCUCUGUAAUUAUUGUACCUAGUAUAAUUAACCAAUAAUGUAAAUUAUUGUUAUCUUAACCAGUUUUCUUCUCCGCAGACACACGAUAAAACUAGAGAGCAGAAAAUAUUGUUUAAUAGCUUUUUUCAGAAGCAGGUAUUUCUUAUCAUUUUAACAAAUUUGAGGAAGCACAAAUAAACGUAAGUGCCUUUAGCAAGAUCAAUUGUAUUUCUAUACACUAGCAAGAAGAAAUUAGAAAAUUAAAUUUUAAAAGAUGCCAUUUACAAUAGCAUCCAAAAAAAUUGAAUACUUAAGAGUAAGUAUAACAAUGUGGGUGCUUCUUGUUCAGACGAUGACAGCUCUCAUGACUGCCACCUGAGCUGACAGAUUAUGUGACAUCUCGAUUUUAGAGAUGUUAAAGAAAUCUUUAAUGUCUUUGAAGAAAUAUGGUAGUAAUAUUUUGUGAAAAUUUGUGUAAAAUUUCAGUCUUAUAUGAAGCCUUUAGAAAUUCAGGUUGUAGCCAGGUCCCGAGGUUUUGUUUAUUGCUAUAAAGAGUGAUUUUAAUGUUAAUUUUCCUUAAAAAUUUGCUUCUAAAAAAAAAGUCGGCCAGUGCCUCCCUUUUCAUUGAAGGUUCCAUUAAUGAGAAAUUAGCUUUACUGAAUAAAUUAACCUCAGACUGUUGGUCAAUGGAAAUGGAGGCAAUUUUAAAGCCUUGAAGGUGGGGGUGAAGGUGCAUGUGGUGGAGGGUAGGGUCAGUGAUGGGAGGUCUGUGGCGUGAUCUGCCAGGGCAGGGAGAGUGUCCCCAGCAUGAGUAAAGUGCAGGGUCUGUGGCGGGGUCAGUGCAGCCACAAAACCCCACAGAAAUGUUUGCCUAUUCAGGUGACUUGUGACUAUUCAAGGUUUUUCUGUCCUUCCAUCCCCCCACCUCUCUGAUCCUUUUACAAACAAAGGCAAGUUGCCAUUUUAAAGAAUCCCAUUUAUAGGGUUAAAUUGCUGGGAAACUAACCAAUACAAUGUUACAUAUUUUUCAUCAAUUUUGUAACUUGUUAAAAAGUGUCUUUUUGAAGCUGUUAAGUAUUUGGGAUAGCCUUUUAGGUGUCAGAAACCCCAUAGCAGGGCAGGUUUGCAUGUGUGAGUGUGGGAUGGGGAUUGUGUGUCUGUGUCUGUGUGUACAUGAGCUUUUGUGUCCAAGCCCUGGGAUCGGAACCAGGACAGCUGAUAGGCAUUUAGCACUUAGUAUAUGUCAAGUGUUUUCCAGACGUCAGAAUUUCUCAUGACGUUUUACAAAGGCAGAUUUCAGCAGACCUAAAUGUUUAUCCUAGUAGUACAUAUAAAAGUUUCUACUUUAAAAGAGAGCUGGUCGAGCUGAAUGCUUAAAAAUGAUUCAAAUGCUCAAUUUUAUGUUAUGUGGUUUUUAUCAUCAUUUUGUUUUUAAAAAGAGCUAGCUAGUCACCAUAGGCUCAGAAGUUUAUUAUAAAGCCAGAAUAAAUCCUAAAUAGGAAAAUGGUAGAAAAUGGCAAUACGCAGUCUUUGAAAGAAAGCAUUAUGAUUCUUUUAGCAUUUUGAAUUCUUUUCAGUGUCUGAGAUUUUCAGAAUUUAAUAAUUAUUUCUUAGCUGAAGAUUUUUGCCUCCAU